CCUACGGGAGGCAGCAGUGAGGAAUAUUGGUCAAUGGACGAGAGUCUGAACCAGCCAAGUAGCGUGAAGGAUGACUGCCCUAUGGGUUGUAAACUUCUUUUAUAUGGGAAUAAAAUGUUCCACGUGUGGGAUUUUGUAUGUACCAUAUGAAUAAGGAUCGGCCAACUCCAUGCCAGCAGCCGCGGUAAUACGGAGGAUCCGAGCGUUAUCCGGAUUUAUUGGGUUUAAAGGGAGCGUAGGUGGAUUGUUAAGUCAGUUGUGAAAGUUUGCGGCUCAACCGUAAAAUUGCAGUUGAAACUGGCAGUCUUGAGUACAGUAGAGGUGGGCGGAAUUCGUGGUGUAGCGGUGAAAUGCUUAGAUAUCACGAAGAACUCCGAUUGCGAAGGCAGUUCACUGGACUGCAACUGACACUGAGGCUCGAAAGUGUGGGUAUCAAACAGGAUUAGAUACCCUUGUAGUC
rnacentral:rRNA from 1 species